AACGCACAUUGCGCCCUUUGGCAUUCCGAGGGGCAUACCCGUUCGAGCGUCAUUUCACCACUCAAGCCUGGCUUGGUGUUGGGUCCCCGGGUGACCGGGACCUCAAAACACCGUCGGCCGGAUGCUCCGGACCUCAGCGUCGUGGCUCAACAUCGCUGUCGGGAGGGGGCGUCGGCGCCGUUAAACGUUUAUUCAAGGUUGACCUCGGAUCGGGUAGGGAUACCCGCUGAACUUAA
rnacentral:misc_RNA from 1 species